rnacentral:rRNA from 1 species
UGGGGAAUAUUGGACAAUGGGCGAAAGCCUGAUCCAGCCAUGCCGCGUGUGUGAAGAAGGUCUUCGGAUUGUAAAGCACUUUAAGUUGGGAGGAAGGGCAGUAAGCUAAUACCUUGCUGUUUUGACGUUACCGACAGAAUAAGCACCGGCUAACUCUGUGCCAGCAGCCGCGGUAAUACAGAGGGUGCAAGCGUUAAUCGGAAUUACUGGGCGUAAAGCGCGCGUAGGUGGUUUGUUAAGUUGGAUGUGAAAGCCCCGGGCUCAACCUGGGAACUGCAUCCAAAACUGGCAAGCUAGAGUACGGUAGAGGGUGGUGGAAUUUCCUGUGUAGCGGUGAAAUGCGUAGAUAUAGGAAGGAACACCAGUGGCGAAGGCGACCACCUGGACUGAUACUGACACUGAGGUGCGAAAGCGUGGGGAGCAAACAGGAUUAGAUACCCCAGUAGUCCCUGAGCGGGCUGGCAAGGCGCAU